CUACGGGUGGCUGCAGGCGAGAAAACUUUGCAAUGUGCGAAAGCACGACAAGGUUAAUCCGAGUGGUUUCUGCUAAAGGAACCUUUUGUCGGUCCUAGAAACACCGAUGAAUAAGGGGUGGGCAAGUUCUGGUGUCAGCCGCCGCGGUAAAACCAGCACCUCAAGUUGUCAGGAUGAUUAUUGGGCCUAAAGCAUCCGUAGCCGGCUCUGUUAGUUUUCGGUUAAAUAUAUACGCUCAACGUAUAGGCUGCCGGGAAUACUGCAGAGCUAGGGAGUGGGAGAGGUAGACGGUACUCGGUAGGAAGGGGUAAAAUCCUUUGAUCUAUUGAUGACCACCUGUGGCGAAGGCGGUCUACCAGAACACGUCCGACGGUGAGGGAUGAAAGCUGGGGGAGCAAACCGGAUUAGAUACCCUGGUAGUC
rnacentral:rRNA from 1 species